GACGAACGCUGGCGGCGUGCUUAACACAUGCAAGUCGAACGGGGAUAUGUUAGAUGAGAGCUUCGGCAGGAUUCGGAUAUAUUCUAGUGGCGGACGGGUGAGUAACGCGUGAGCAACCUGUCCCAGACAGGGGGAUAACACUUGGAAACAGGUGCUAAUACCGCAUAAGACCACAGGGUCACAUGGCCCAGGGGUAAAAGGUGCAAACCGGUUUGGGGUGGGCUCGCGUCCGAUUAGCCAGUUGGCGGGGUAACGGCCUACCAAGGCGACGAUCGGUAGCCGGUCUGAGAGGAUGAACGGCCACAUUGGGACUGAGACACGGCCCAGACUCC
rnacentral:rRNA from 1 species